rnacentral:rRNA from 1 species
UCCUUCUUUUUCUCUCUUUCCUCGGAAUUACUGGGCGUAAAGCGUGCGCAGGCGUAUUGUUAAGCAAGAUGUGAAAUCCCCGGGCUUAACCUGGGAAUGGCAUUUUGAGCUGGCAGUCUAGAGUGUGUCAGAGGGGGGUGGAAUUCCACGUGUAGCAGUGAAAUGCGUAGAUAUGUGGAGGAACACCAAUGGCGAAGGCAGCCCCCUGGGAUAACACUGACGCUCAUGUACGAAAGCGUGGGUAGCAAACAGG